rnacentral:rRNA from 1 species
CUACGGGGCGCAGCAGUGGGGAAUAUUGCACAAUGGGCGCAAGCCUGAUGCAGCCAUGCCGCGUGUAUGAAGAAGGCCUUCGGGUUGUAAAGUACUUUCAGCGGGGAGGAAGGGAGUAAAGUUAAUACCUUUGCUCAUUGACGUUACCCGCAGAAGAAGCACCGGCCAACUCCGUGCCAGCAGCCGCGGUAAUACGGAGGGUGCAAGCGUUCAUCGGAAUUACUGGGCGUAAAGCGCACGCAGGCGGUUUGUUAAGUCAGAUGUGAAAUCCCCGGGCUCAACCUGGGAACUGCAUCUGAUACUGGCAAGCUUGAGUCUCGUAGAGGGGGGUAGAAUUCCAGGUGUAGCGGUGAAAUGCGUAGAGAUCUGGAGGAAUACCGGUGGCGAAGGCGGCCCCCUGGACGAAGACUGACGCUCAGGUGCGAAAGCGUGGGGAGCAAACAGGAUUAGAUACCCGGGUAGUC